ensembl:lncRNA
AUCAGCGUUACAGUAGACACAGUCAUAGAAAUAAUUUUUCAUUGUUGUGUGUUUUUUUGUUGUUUAGCCCCACCUGUUUCCGUAUCUCGGCCUCUUCAUAAGGGAUAUCGGCUGCUUCACAUUCAGAUCAUUUCAAUUUGUUAAGCUGCGCUCUCACACACAGAAUAUUUCACCUCCACAUCCAACACCGACGUUGCGUUUGUUCCAGAUGGAGGUCUCCAGGAUGCGGUCCGCCUGGGCGGCUCUCUGCACCGCCGUGCUAGUGAUGUCAGGCUCUGCUGAAGGUGCUAGUUUGGUGACGUUAAAAGCGGCGAACACAGAACCAUCAUACUCUUAUGACUUAACCAUGGACGUCACCAACCGCAUCUACAGUGAUUCUCUCCUCAACCCUAACUCUCACGACUAUAAUAUGAUGUUUGGGGAAGUUAGCAGUGCGCUCUACUCUGUCUACGGCUGCCCCACUUGCGACACACGCACAUUUUAUCAAGGUGUAACAGCCAUGACCUUCAGUGACAAGGCUGGAUCUGUGGUUGUUCAGGCCACCAUCAUGUUCUACUCAGACCAAACCAAUGCCAUGGUGAUCAAGUACCUAUUUCUGCAGGCCGUCAAUAGCAGAAAUGAAAUAAAUGGCCUGAGAAUCAACCCUGGAUUCACACAGGUGUCUUCACAAUCCACAAGCGUUUCCCAUCCAACCACCACUCCAACCACCACUCCAACCACCACUCCAACCACUACCCCAACCACUACUCCAACCACCACUCCAACCACUACUCGUCUAAUAACAUGUGACCCAUAUUUAAGCAAUCAUGAUAUCAUUCAGAUAAUUAUGUCAUGUUUUAUCACUCCAACCCCUACUCCAACCACUACUCCAACUACUAUUCUAACUACUCGUACCACCACUCCUACAACAACUACAACCACUACUCUAGUCUAUUAAAACAGGGUGAACCCAUUCCUUUAACCGAUCUCCUGCCAUUACUAAAACUACUUAAUCAGAUUGUUUAAAAAAGAAAAAGAAAAAAAGAAACAGAUUGCAUGUAGUUAAUCAUAUGACAUGAUAUUAAAUUCAUAUUAAAACAGACGACACAUGAAACCCUUGAAAGGCUCGAUUAAAGUAUAAUAUUCUAUCUGUAAAGAGCACCUUUUUUCACACCUCCUGUGUUCAAACACCAUCUGAGUCACCGUCCAAUGGGCAAUCUGUAUUUUCUCUCCCAUUACCAUGGUAGAAAUGGGAUUUAGAAAUGUUCUGUUUUCUGAAGUCUAUACUUCAUAGCCUACCCAUUAACCUCCUACAACUACUUCACCUCUCAAUCACAAUACAUUUACAGAGUGGGAAUGAAAUAGUCCCUGCCCACAAGAUGUCAUGUGCCCACAUGUCAAAAGGACAAUGUUAAAAUCACUUUUGUUUGUUCAGAAAUGACUUAAAUAUCUGAUAAUCACCUGACAUCUUAAGAGCAUGUGUUUGUUACUCCUUAACAAACUUUUAACAUCGAUCAUUGCUCUUGUAUUUCUUAUAUGAUUCAAGAACCUAUGUUGUAAACCUGCCUUCACAAUUUUUACAUCAUUCUUCCUCUAUUCAGUAUCUUUCUUCUUUCUUUUUUCUUUUCAUUAAUGUCAUUUUCAGUUAAUCAUUAGAGGAAUAGAUGCAGAUUUGUCUACAAUGUCUCAAUGCCUGUUGUAAACAGCACAAAACUAAUAAAAUGGGAUUAUACAAGCUUGAAAUUUUUCCUCCCAGG